UACGGAGGGUGCAAGCGUUGUUCGGAAUCAUUGGGCGUAAAGCGCGUGUAGGCGGCUUGGCAAGUCAGUUGUGAAAGCCCGGGGCCCAACCCCGGAAUUGCAUCUGAAACUGCCUGGCUAGAGUCCCGGAGAGGAGGGCAGAAUUCCCGGUGUAGGGGUGAAAUCCGUAGAUAUCGGGAGGAAUACCAGCGGCGAAGGCGGCCUUCUGGACGGUGACUGACGCUGAGACGCGAAAGCGUGGGGAGCAAACAGG
rnacentral:rRNA from 1 species